UCCCUGGUGGUCCAGUGGUUGAGACUUUGCCUUCCAAUGCAAGGGAGUGCAGGUUCGAUCCCUGGUCAGGGAA
rnacentral:tRNA from 1 species